GCGCCCUUGGUGUAGCGGUCACACACAAUCUACUUAUACAAAAGUAAUGUAUCGCUUAGAUUGGGUCCGGGGUUCGAGUCCCCGAGGCGCA